rnacentral:rRNA from 1 species
CCAGCUCCAAUAGCGUAUAUUAAAGUUGUUGCAGUUAAAAAGCUCGUAGUUGAAUUUUGGGCCUAGUUGGGUGGUCUAGCUUAACGGUUAGUACUGCUUUAAUUGGGUCUUUCCUUCUGGGGAACUAUGGUGCACUUUAUUGUGUGCCUUAGGGAUCCAGGACUUUUACUGUGAAAAAAUUAGAGUGUUUAAAGCAGGCUUACGCUUGAAUACAUUAGCAUGGAAUAAUAGAAUAGGACUAUGGUUCUAUUUUGUUGGUUUCUAGGACCAAAGUAAUGAUUAAUAGGGAUAGUUGGGGCAUUAGUAUUUUAUAGUCAGAGGUGAAAUUCUUGGAUUUAUGAAAGACUAACUUCUGCGAAAGCAUUUGCCAAGGAUGUUUUCAUUAAUCAAGAACGAAACAAGGGGGAUCGAAGACGAUCAGAUACCGUCGUAGUCUCUUGCGUAAACGAUGCCGACUAGGGAUCGGGCGAUGUUAUUUUUUGACUCGCUCGGCACCUUAUGAGAAAUCAAAGUUUUUGGGUUCCGGGGGGAGUAGGGUCGCAAGGCUGAAACUUAAAGGAAUUGACGGAAGGGCACCACCAGGAGUGGAGCCUGCGGCUUAAUUCGACUCAAC